rnacentral:rRNA from 1 species
AUUGAACGCUGGCGGCAUGCCUUACACAUGCAAGUCGAACGGCAGCACGGGUGCUUGCACCUGGUGGCGAGUGGCGAACGGGUGAGUAAUACAUCGGAACGUACCUUAUCGUGGGGGAUAACGCAGCGAAAGCUGUGCUAAUACCGCAUACGCCCUGAGGGGGAAAGCGGGGGAUCGCAAGACCUCGCGCGAUUAGAGCGGCCGAUGCCUGAUUAGCUUGUUGGUGGGGUAAAAGCCCACCAAGGCGACGAUCAGUAGCUGGUCUGAGAGGACGAGCAGCCACACUGGGACGGAGACACGGCCCAGACUCCUACGGGAGGCAGCAGUGGGGAAUUUUGGACAAUGGGGGCAACCCUGAUCCAGCAAUGCCGCGUGAGUGAAGAAGGCCUUCGGGUUGUAAAGCUCUUUUGUCAGGGAAGAAACACCGGCUCUAACACAGUCUGGGAAUGACGGUACCUGAAGAAUAAGCACCGGCUAACUACGUGCCAGCAGCCGCCGUAA